rnacentral:lncRNA from 1 species
UCCAAUCUACCCGUUGGACGGAAUCAAUCAAGAAGAUCAUCCGAGCUAUUUAAGGAAUCUGAUGAUAGCCCAUCAAUCCUGUUCGCCCAUACAAUCAGGAUCUCGGUUUCCAAGAAUAGAAUAAUCCAAGAUUAUUUCGUCGACCAUCGGAUCUUCAAUCGAUCUUAGAUAAGAAUUAAAGAAUCCGAAAUGAUUAUCCAACCAAAGAAUCUAUUCCAGAGGAUAGGAUCAAAUCCUCAAUCAUAAACCUCGACUUUGGAUUUCCUUCAACACUGGAUUAGAAAGACUGUCAGUGAGAAUA